rnacentral:rRNA from 1 species
GAUGAACGCUGGCGGCGUGCCUAAUACAUGCAAGUCGAGCGAACGGACGAGAAGCUUGCUUCUCUGAUGUUAGCGGCGGACGGGUGAGUAACACGUGGAUAACCUACCUAUAAGACUGGGAUAACUUCGGGAAACCGGAGCUAAUACCGGAUAAUAUUUUGAACCGCAUGGUUCAAAAGUGAAGGACGGUCUUGCUGUCACUUAUAGAUGGAUCCGCGCUGCAUUAGCUAGUUGGUAAGGUAACGGCUUACCAAGGCAACGAUGCAUAGCCGACCUGAGAGGGUGAUCGGCCACACUGGAACUGAGACACGGUCCAGACUCCUACGGGAGGCAGCAGUAGGGAAUCUUCCGCAAUGGGCGAAAGCCUGACGGAGCAACGCCGCGUGAGUGAUGAAGGUCUUCGGAUCGCAAAACUCUGUUAUUAGGGAAGAACAUAUGUGUAAGUAACUGUGCACAUCUUGACGGUACCUAAUCAGAAAGCCACGGCUAACUACGUG